AAAAGUAUAAGUAAACGAAUAAGGAAUUGAAACCUCUUCCAUUGGCAUUAGCGCAAAAAGUUUCUGUAAAGUACAAGUAACAGAAAUAGGAACCCCAAACUCAUAUCAGUGAAAUAAAAAAGUAGUUGUCAAGGUUCCAGUAUUGGGUGCUGUAAUCGGAAGGGAUAAAUAAAAUAUAUGGUUAGACACCAGUUUACUGUAAGUAAAGAAAACCCCAAAACAGGCCUCACAAUCUGAAGUCUCCGACACGAAGGCUUCAGCACGCCGGACUCAGCAAUGACCUGUGGCACGGCUGCUUCCUCUUCGGGGCGUCUCGUCCCUUAAGUGGCAAUGACGAGGCAGCACAGAUUCGUCCUUGAAGUGGUGUAGACGUGGUAGACGAGGGAGGCGCAGGAGGAGAAGGGGCGUCAGGUUCACGGCAGUCACGGGAGUUCAGGGCGUGGAGAGGUAGGGCACCCAGACCGAGCCCACGGUAUCUGAGUUAGCCCGAGUGAGAGCAGGGCUGGAGCUAUAGCAGACUCAAGUGUUCAGGCCGAGGCUUGGCCGCUGUCUGACGAGGAAGGCGCGGGCGGCAACCAAGUCGCCUCCCAUAGCGGGUUGAGAACCCUCGGUGGUUCAGUCGACCGAGGCGUCGAACGGCGUCAGGUGAACGAGCAGCGGGAGUGAAGCAGGUGGUUCGCUGCGCCUCGGUAGUUGAACAGCUUCGAACGGCAAGAUGCGGGCGGGCGGCAGGAGUGCCCCGGUCGUUCGGCCGCUAAGUUGGUAGUUGCCCUCACAGUAGUAUAAGUUAAAGAAUAAGGAAUCCAAACUUCUUAUGAAUGCAAGUUAAAGGAAUCCAAACCUCCCUCGUAUCAGAAGAAUAAAAAAAAAAUUAUAAGUUAAAGAAUAAGGAAUCCAAACCUCUUCCAAUAGAAUCCAAACCACUUAUGAAUGCAAGUUAAUGGAAUCCAAACCUCCCUCGUAUCAGAAGAAUAAAAAAAAACAUAAGUUAAAGAAUAAGGAAUCCAAACCUCUUCCAAUAGAAUCCAAACCACUUAUGAAUGCAAGGUAAAGGAAUCCAAACCUCCCUCGUAGGUCUUAGCGCUGCAUUAGCCUCCACAAAGCCCAUUGGCCUGCCCCGGAGCCGCAAACGUGUAAUCCCUCGGUAAAUACACCCAAACGCGAUCCGACCCCACAACAGCAAGAGAUCGGGGCGUGCAAUCAAUAGUGUGGCCCCGAGCGGAGAGCGGCGCAUCUCCCUCCACCUUCAUCUGAUAAGGAACCGCCACUCACCUCUAUUGUCUUGCCCCCCCCCCCCACACACACACAUCCCCCCUACUUCUACACCUCUGAACAUAUCCUUAGUAUGACCCUUAACACACCCUUAACACACCUUUCAUACAACUAUCCUUCACCCCAAGUCUCCUUCACUAUACUAAACCCUUAACAAACUAACACACACCUCUACUAAGUACACCCCCUAACACAUCCCUACUGCACCUUAACACACCCCUAACACACCCUUCACACAACUGCCCUUCACCCCAAGUCUCCCUCACACCCUUAAACCUCUACUACUGCAUCCCUAACAAACUAACACACACCUCUAUUAAUACAGCCCCUAACACAUCCCUACUACACCCCUUUCACACCCCUAAUACACCCUUAACACAGCUACCCUUCACCCCAAGUCUCCCUCACCCCCUCAAACCUCUACUAUACUACACCCCUAACAAACUAACACACACCUCUACUAAUACAGCCCCUAACACAUCCCUACUACACCCCUACACAGUCCCAGCACAGCCGUAACACAGCUACCACUCACCCCACGAUAUGCAACUCUCUCUCUCUCUCUCUCUCUCCGCACUAUCAUUCAUUAAGUCGUUUCCUGGCCACCUCUGUUCUCUUUUUCUCCUCUCCCACACACCUGCUACUGCAACCCAUUUAUUUUACUUUUUUUUGUGGGUGUUUAUCUUUAUGUUGUGUUAUUGGUCUUAUCUUUACGCGGGUCAAGGGAAAAACACGCAGCCUUCUCUUUCCUUAUAUAAAAAAAUCAUAAUAACGAAUAAAUAAAGAAAGACACAAACCCUUCAAUAAACUUGGCAUAUGAAGGUCAAAAAGCCGCCUUCCUCAACAACAAUUCGCUUCGGGGGCAAGGGAGGGGAAGGGAGGGGUGAAGGGGGGGAGGGGGUCAAGGGAGCGGUCAUCAGGGCGCGCCUCUGCCGACUCAGGCUCUGUUUUUGUCCCGGCGGCGCGGCCCGACGGGACCCUCGCCGCCUAAACAGCCGCGGGAAAGUUGGGCUGAAAGGUUCCCUGGACGCGGCCGUGGGGCGCUAACACGGCCUCGUAAAACCGCGGCGGCUCAAAGCAAAGGAGGGGACGGACGUGACCUGGCCUGUCGCUGAGCCACGUAAAGAAAUACAUAACAGAAUAAGACAAGAAAAUCACCAAUGUUAGUAAUGACAACGUGUUUAGAUUAGCUACCCGCAUCACAUCUUCGCAAAGGGAUAAAGUUGACUUCGCCUGUCUUGAGUCAUAUAUAAAUUAA